rnacentral:antisense_RNA from 1 species
AGUGUGAGCAGCGAGCGAAUGAGCAAGAGCGUGUGACAACAGAGGAUGACAGGCUGUGAGGUUCGAAGCAGGAAGGACACACUCCAUAAGUCUCGGCACUGCUCAUCAGCCCAUGUGUCAGCACGCUCUUGCUGAUGGGAGCAGCGGGGAGAAACGCCAUACUGGGAAGUCACUGCUGGUGUGGGACAAGUUACAAGAUGCUUCUGGGGGAGGAAAAUGUGUAUCAUCAACUCCUCAGGGCAGUGAAGCCUGCUCAGUCUAGACUUACAUGAGAGACUACUCAAUGACUCUCACAGAAAAGAGAUCUUCCCAAGGUGACAUUUUCUCCUACUAAGCCAAUAAGGUCAUCUUACUCACAGUCCACUUCCAGGAACUGACCCCAAAUGGACAGAAUCUACUUAUAUCAUGGCACAGCUGUCAACUUCUCUUGCUAAAGAAGAGAAUAACGCUCACAAAAUUGCCCCAGAUGGUGGUGCAACAUUUUUGGGCCAAGUACUACAACUGAAAAGCAUGAACAGAGUUUUACCAGUGGGUUACAGCUCUUGUUUAACCUCUAGAAAACUAGUGACAUGCUCUUGGAGAAGCCCCUCUUACAGAAGGCCAAAGAAGCUGAGAAAGCACAGAGGAAAUAAUCAAGGCUCACCUGGGAAAGCAACACAGCUUCACCAUCAUUCUCUCGUCCCUGAGAAAAUAAAUCAAAACAAACAAGUAUAUUGAGCACUGGGUGUUCAAAACCACAUGAA